UCCCUGAUGGUCCUUUGGCUGAGACUCUGCCCUCCCAAAGCAAGGGGCCUGGGUUCAAUCCCUGGUCAGGGAA
rnacentral:tRNA from 1 species